rnacentral:rRNA from 1 species
AUUGAACGCUGGCGGCAUGCUUUACACAUGCAAGUCGAACGGCAGCGCGGGCUUCGGCCUGGCGGCGAGUGGCGAACGGGUGAGUAAUACAUCGGAACGUGCCCAGUAGUGGGGGAUAGCUCGGCGAGAGCCGGAUUAAUACCGCAUACGACCUGAGGGUGAAAGCGGGGGAUCUUCGGACCUCGCGCUAUUGGAGCGGCCGAUGGCAGAUUAGCUAGUUGGUGGGGUAAAGGCCUACCAAGGCGACGAUCUGUAGCUGGUCUGAGAGGACGACCAGCCACACUGGGACUGAGACACGGCCCAGACUCCUACGGGAGGCAGCAGUGGGGAAUUUUGGACAAUGGGCGAAAGCCUGAUCCAGCAAUGCCGCGUGUGUGAUGAAGGCCUUCGGGUUGUAAAGCACUUUUGGCGGGAACGAAAAGGACUGUGCCAAUACCACGGUUCGAUGACGGUACCCGCAGAAUAAGCACCGGCUAACUACGUG